UCCUGGCUCAGGAUGAACGCUGGCGGCGUGCUUAACACAUGCAAGUCGAGCGAGAAAGUUCUUCGGAGCUUUUCUAGCGGCGGACGGGUGAGUAACACGUGGGCAACCUGCCUCAUAGAGGGGAAUAGCCUUCCGAAAGGAAGAUUAAUACCGCAUAAUAUUGUUGAAAGGCAUCUUUUAACAAUCAAAGGAGCAAUCCGCUAUGAGAUGGGCCCGCGGCGCAUUAGCUAGUUGGUGAGGUAACGGCUCACCAAGGCGACGAUGCGUAGCCGACCUGAGAGGGUGAUCGGCCACAUUGGAACUGAGACACGGUCCAGACUCCUACGGGAGGCAGCAGUGGGGAAUAUUGCACAAUGGGGGAAACCCUGAUGCAGCAACGCCGCGUGAGUGAUGAAGGUCUUCGGAUUGUAAAGCUCUGUCUUUAGGGACGAUAAUGACGGUACCUAAGGAGGAAGCCACGGCUAACUACGUG
rnacentral:rRNA from 1 species